rnacentral:rRNA from 1 species
UACGAAGGGGGCUAGCGUUGCUCGGAAUCACUGGGCGUAAAGCGCACGUAGGCGGACUCUUAAGUCGGUGGUGAAAUCCUGGAGCUCAACUCCAGAACUGCCUUCGAUACUGAGAGUCUCAGAGUCCGGGAGAGGUGAGUGGAACUCCGAGUGUAGAGGUGAAAAUUCGUAGAUAUUCGGAAGAACACCAGUGGCGAAGGCGGCUCACUGGCCCCGGUACUGACGCUGAGGUGCGAAAAGCGUGGGGGAGCAAACAGGG